rnacentral:rRNA from 2 species
CUGGCUCAGAAUGAACGCUGGCGGCAGGCCUAACACAUGCAAGUCGAGCGAAGUCUUCGGACUUAGCGGCGGACGGGUGAGUAACGCGUGGGAACGUGCCCUUUGCUUCGGAAUAGCCCCGGGAAACUGGGAGUAAUACCGAAUGUGCCCUACGGGGGAAAGAUUUAUCGGCAAAGGAUCGGCCCGCGUUGGAUUAGGUAGUUGGUGGGGUAAUGGCCUACCAAGCCGACGAUCCAUAGCUGGUUUGAGAGGAUGAUCAGCCACACUGGGACUGAGACACGGCCCAGACUCCUACGGGAGGCAGCAGUGGGGAAUCUUAGACAAUGGGCGCAAGCCUGAUCUAGCCAUGCCGCGUGAUCGAUGAAGGCCUUAGGGUUGUAAAGAUCUUUCAGGUGGGAAGAUAAUGACGGUACCACCAGAAGAAGCCCCGGCUAA